UUCACAAACAUAAGAGGUAGAGAGAGAAAGUAUAUCACAAGAGGAAAGAAGAGAAGAAUAGAGAAAGAAGAGGGUAGAGCUUGAACAAGGAGAAAAGCUUGAGCUAGAGGGAGAUUGAAGCCCAAGUUAUAAGAAAUUGAAGUUAUAGGUGAUCGUGCUUAGUGUGCAGUUUCCGUCGUGAGUGGCCUUGCCUUCACUGUGUCGUCUAGGUCGCUAUGAUACGUAACGGGAUGGGGCUAUAUGUUAUUCAUGCUUCGUUCUAUUACGUGAAUAAUAUGCUAAUGUGAUAUUGAACUAACUCCUUUGAGAUUAUUCUGAUGGGGCCUGCGUGCCAAAACGUUUUAUGACUAUGAUAUAAUUUCUGCUGCAAUGAUUAAGAUAUUUGGUUAAAUUAUUAUUUAACUGUUUUGGAUUAUGUUA